UAAUGAUUGAUGAUGCUUGUUUUAAAAAAAUAUGGUUAAUGAAAACUAAAACUAAGUAAUAAAACAUUAUAGAGUAAAUUGGGGGAUUGGUUAUCAUUACCCUUAUUUUACCCCGCCUUAUAUUCCUCACAGGUUCCAUCUUUUAUUUUUCUUUUUAUCUCUCAUCUUCUCAUAUACCCCUCCAUCAAAAAGAAGAUUAAUCACAUACAUCAUCAGGAAUCAAGAACAUUGUACAGCCGCUCAAAAAUCAUCAGUAAGAUGCUUUGAUGUUGCUGCUAAUGCUUUGAUUGUAUACGGUAAUAAAUCUGAAUCGGUGAGUGAAGAAAAAAUGCAAGAGGUAAUGAACGAACUUUUCAACAUCGUAUUUCCCAUUUAGAUGUUGGUAAGGUUGUCAAAGCUUGUUACAACGAUCCCAUUAAAGUGAAGACCUUGUUUACCUUGCCGUUGUAUAUGAGGAAAGCUUAUGUUAUAGGGCUCUUACAUCCUCAAGUCUAGUUCACGAGUUGUACUGUAUUUUUUGUUUCCUGGCAUAAAAGAAACCUCCUGGUUUUUGGUAGUUAUGACAAUGUCAUAACAUUGGUAUUUUA